rnacentral:rRNA from 1 species
CCUACGGGAGUCAGCAGUGAGGAAUAUUUGUCAAUGGACGAGAGUCUGAACCAGCCAAGUAGCGUGAAGGAUGACUGCCCUAUGGGUUGUAACCUUCUUUUAUAAAGGAAUAAAACGAGGCACGUGUGCCUUUUUGCAUGUACUUUAUGAAUAAGGAUCGGCUAACUCCGUGCCAGCAGCCGCGGUAAUACGGAGGAUGCGAGCGUUAUCCGGAUUUAUUGGGUUUAAAGGGUGCGUAGGUGGUUAAUUAAGUCAGCGGUGAAAGUUUGUGGCUCAACCAUAAAAUUGCCGUUGAAACUGGUUGACUUGAGUAUAUUUGAGGUAGGCGGAAUGCGUGGUGUAGCGGUGAAAUGCAUAGAUAUCACGCAGAACUCCGAUUGCGAAGGCAGCUUACUAAGCUAUAACUGACACUGAAGCACGAAAGCGUAGGGAUCAAACAGGAUUAGAUACCCCUGUAGUC